rnacentral:rRNA from 1 species
AUUGAACGCUGGCGGCAGGCCUAACACAUGCGAGUCGAACGGUAACAGGAAACAGCUUGCUGUUUCGCUGACGAGUGGCGGACGGGUGAGUAAUGUCUGGGAAACUGCCUGAUGGAGGGGGAUAACUACUGGAAACGGUAGCUAAUACCGCAUAACGUCGCAAGACCAAAGUGGGGGACCUUCGGGCCUCUUGCCAUCGGAUGUGCCCAGAUGGGAUUAGCUAGUAGGUGGGGUAACGGCUCACCUAGGCGACGAUCCCUAGCUGGUCUGAGAGGAUGACCAGCCACACUGGAACUGAGACACGGUCCAGACUCCUACGGGAGGCAGCAGUGGGGAAUAUUGCACAAUGGGCGCAAGCCUGAUGCAGCCAUGCCGCGUGUAUGAAGAAGGCCUUCGGGUUGUAAAGUACUUUCAGCGGGGAGGAAGGGAGUAAAGUUAAUACCUUUGCUCAUUGACGUUACCCGCAGAAGAAGCACCGGCUAACUCCGUG